GAUGAACGCUGGCGGCGUGCCUAACACAUGCAAGUCGAACGGAGUCCAGCCUUUAAGACCUUCGGGUCAAAGAGGGGAAGACUGAGUGGCGGACGGGUGAGUAACACGUGGGCAACCUGGCUCAUAGAGGGGGAUAACAGAGAGAAAUUUCUGCUAAUACCGCAUAAGCACACACUGCCGCAUGGCAGAGGGUGAAAAGAGAAUCGCUAUGAGAUGGAACCGCGUCUGAUUAGCCAGUUGGCAGGGUAAGAGCCUACCAAAGCGACGAUCAGUAGCCGAUCUGAGAGGAUGAACGGCCACAUUGGGACUGAGACACGGCCCAAACUCCUACGGGAGGCAGCAGUGGGGGAUAUUGCACAAUGGGGGGAACCCUGAUGCAGCGACGCCGCGUGAGUGAAGAAGUAUUUCGGUAUGUAAAGCUCUAUCAGCAGGGAAGAUAAUGACAGUACCUGAAGAAGAAGCCCCGGCUAACUACGUG
rnacentral:rRNA from 1 species